GGGAAGACAACCUCUGAUGAGCUCUGCUAUAACCAGGGUCCAAUCUAACAGCCUCCUCACACUCCUUGACGGCUUCUCCCAACCUUCCCACCGCCGCCAACGCUGCUGACCUGUUACUUCGGAUCAGCAGUAGUCCCCAAUUUAGCACCGCCACCACCACGAAUUAUGCUGCCAUGUCCAUAGUUUCCUUUGCCAGCACCAAGCGUGUCGGUCUUGUUAGAGGUACGUAAGCCCAUGGUUUUUAGGAUUUUCCCAGACGGGCAAAUGUUACCACUGGGUAAAAUAUUUGUCGUGGUUGGGAUAGAACAAACAGGAGAGGAUGAAGAAGAAGAAGAAGAAGAGGUUGCUCCACUGAAGCUUGAACCAGAGUAGAUUAAAGGAGGCCCAGCAGAGACGGAUCUCCUAUGACCCGGCCUAAGAUUCCGGUUUGUUGAGACAGAUCCGGGUAUAGAUGAAGUUUUGUCCGAAAACUCCCCUGAGAAAUGGGUACUGCUUUUGCUGGAAACGGAACCGGCGGAUGAGGUAGAGCUAUUACCAGAUGUUGUAGUGAGGGCUGCAGUACUUCCAUUGUGGGUAGGGAGCAAUGGUGAAACAGGUGAAGCCAACAGAUCGAGUUGUUUGAAGUCAGGCUUGUUCAUUUCAAUGUGGUCGGUAGAUGCAAAACUGAGUGAGUGACGGUGGCGAGGGGUUUGGGAAUCAAAGCUUUGUCGUCCAGACAUAUUAGCAGCAGGAAUGGGUAUUGUUAGUGGAAUCUGGAUUGAAUUAAGAGAGAAGAAAAGGUAGUUAGUAUUUCUCUCCCUCUCUUGUGUUUAAUGUUGAAUUAAUGUCUUAGAUUAGGUAUACUAAAACACCAACACUUACGUAAUCCAAACAUUAAGCAGAGAAGGGAUCUAAAAGGAAGAUUGAAUACGAAUGUCACUCCACUGUGACAUGUCAUGUCAAGUCGAUAUACUUUAUACCCAUACUAAUCAAAUUAAAUUAUAAACCCAAUAUUGAUAUUUUUGGGUAUUUCCUCUUUUUGAUUUGCGAAAACAGUGAUCCCAAGUUUUGGGUUGUUUUCCUUUUGCAAAGUAUAAUCUUUUUCCUUUUCUAA